rnacentral:misc_RNA from 1 species
GUGAAUCAUCAAAUUUUUGAACGCAAAUUGCACUCUUCUCGGAGAGUGUGCCCGUUUGAGGGUCAGACUAAAAAAAAUCAACAUCCUCGCUGUUUCGCGGUGGCGUUCGUCGGAAAUUGGGUUAUCUUCAAUCUUUGAUUUAAGCGAAUUAAAAUCAUCUUUACGAUUUCAUGUAUGUUUCCUAGAUUUAUAU